GUGAGUCAUCGAAUCUUUGAACGCAUAUGGCACCUUUUGGUUCUUACUGAAAGGUAUGCCUGUUUGAGAAUCAUUCAUUCAUUCCUGAUCUGUCACCCUCCUCGUUGCAUCCAUUCACGUGGUUGUUAAAGGGGUGGUGCACGGACAGGACACAUGGACCUUCACCACUGAUCGUCUUGAAUCCAUCCACGGGCUGUUCGUGACAGAGUGGAGAGUGGGGGUGCAGCGACUGACUGUGCCUGCUCUCACUGAUCGACCAGCCCAUCCCUUCCACAAUGAUCUCAAAUCAGGCAAGACUACCCGCUGAACUUAAGCAUAUCAAUAAGCGGAGG
rnacentral:rRNA from 1 species